GCCUGGGUCCAAAAAUAGUGAGUUAUCUCAAUGAUUUUUCCCCAUCACGUUUUACAGCAUCCAGCUCCUAUGUUGUACUCUUUGCCCCCUUCUCACUACUGCACCUUGACUAGUUUA
rnacentral:Y_RNA from 1 species